UGCCGCGUGGCGCAGCGGAUAGCGCUGCUGUUUUUGAAAUUUUCAGCCCGAGUUCGAACCCAGUUGGGGUCA